UUGUUAUAUUUUUCUGGUUGGACUAGAUAUACACAUUAUUGUAACAAAUAACAUUGGUGUAGUGUUUCAAUACAUGAUUGCAUGAGUUUCUAUGAUUCUAAGGUAUAUUAGAUGUAAUUAUUNAACUCUUUUAGUGUUAUAAAUUUGUGAGCAGCCAUAGGGAUUGGUAUAUACUAUUAUUGUCUGGAGUUGUAAUGUUAACCAGUCUGAAUCAUGGAAAAUUAGUACAAGAAUCUAUUUGGUGAAAAUGUUGUCUUGAAUUUAUAUGUGAAAAAAAAAGUGGGAGUUNGAGUGCUUAAAUUGGUGGUCAUUAAAGAGUUUAGGGUAUUAUACUAUAUGUUGCAUCCUUCUAUGCUUAAGUUCUGAUAUGUGAUGUGAAAUAUAAUGCAUGAAAUUAUUUAGUUUAGAAACAAAUGUCACAUGUUAUUUUAAUUAAGAUAAGAGUUAUGAUGUAUUUCACCGGUUUUGAUGGUGCAAAGUUAGGUAAGUAAAACAUGAUUUAGUGUGGUAUGUAUUACACCUUUUAGAGGUGUUAAUUAUAAGUUAAAAACUGGUAUGUAUUACACCUUUUCGUGAAAUAUCUCAUUUUCAAUCUUUAUCUUAUUUAUUUUUAUAUGCAUUGCCCAACAAAUUUAGCAUAAUUAUAUCCNUUUCAGCAAACAUAAUUGUAGAAACAUAUCUUUAUAUAACUGUAANAAACAUUGUCAAUAAUGAUACUGAAAUAAUUGCAUCUACCUUAUUUUAACAGGUUCCUCUUUCGUUAUUUUUCCCCUUUUGUUUUUAUGUUAUGAUAUAGCCAAUGUACUAGUGUGUCUUUGCACUUAAGUGUGUGGAUUUUGUGAUAUUAUUUUCUGGAAGUUCUGUAUUUAAUAAUCAAUAUUCGAUUAGGAGUUUCGUUUCAAUAUAUAUUCGUAAUUUAUGAUGUUCUAAUUUAUCAUUAUAUUAUCUUAGAUUGAAGAUCAAGACAAGUGGAGAAUGUCUUUCGUCAUGCCAUCAAAGUAUGGUGCUAACUUGCCACUGCCUAAAGAUUCCUCUGUGACAAUUAAAGAGGUGUCUAGAAAAAUAGUUGUUGUAGUUGCCUUUUCAGGAUCAAAAUCAUUUGUGGAUGCGGUGAUUGGUAGAUUGCUCCUACUUUGACAACAUUGUGAACUGUUGUAAAUGAGUAAUAAUUNUAUAUUAUGACAUUGAACUUAAAGUUCUUAAAAAGAAUAUUUACAAAGUUCAAGUGAAUAAAACAUAAUUAUUAUUGUGAAAUUGGUUGGAGGAAUAUGGUUAUAAUGAAAGCAAGUGCUCAAGACAACUCAAUGACAACGAUUGUGUAUUAUGAGUCGAUAUAUGAAAGAAAUUAUCACAUGUGAAGGAGGAANAAUUUCAACUAAGUAUUUUUUUAAUUGUAGGCAUCGACAAUAUCGUGACAAUCAAAUUAUUGAAGUUAGGGAAGAUUGACGUUUACAUGUAACUAGUACAUGUUUAUAGGUUAUCUUAUGGUGAUGUACAUGCUUAUAUGUAUUAAUAGGAUAUAUGUGUUAUGGUUGUAUAUAUGUCUUAUUUAAUUUAUACAUUGAAGUAUUGAACAUUCUUUUUA